AGAGUUUGAUCAUGGCUCAGAACGAACGCUGGCGGCAGGCCUAACACAUGCAAGUCGAACGCCCGCAAGGGAGUGGCAGACGGGUGAGUAACACGUGGGAACGUGCCCUUUGGUUCGGAAUAUUCCCGGGAAACUGGGAGCAAAACCGGAUAAGCCCUUCGGGGGAAAGUUUACGCCAAAGGAUCGGCCCGCGUUAGAUUAGGUAGUUGGUGGGGUAACGGCCUACCAAGCCUACGAUCUAUAGCUGAUCUGAGAGGAUGAUCAGCCACACUGGGACUGAGACACGGCCCAGACUCCUACGGGAGGCAGCAGUGGGGAAUCUUGGACAAUGGGCGCAAGCCUGAUCCAGCCAUGCCGCGUGGAUGACUGAAGGCCCUAGGGUUGUAAAGUCCUUUCGACGGGGACGAUAAUGACGGUACCCGUAGAAGAAGCCCCGGCUAACUUCGUGCCAGCAGCCGCGGUAAUACGAAGGGGGCUAGCGUUGUUCGGAUUUACUGGGCGUAAAGGGCGCGUAGGCGGAUUUUUAAGUCGGGGGUGAAAUCCCGGAGCUCAACUCCGGAACUGCCUUCGAUACUGAAAGUCUGGAGCACGGUAGAGGUGAGUGGAAUUCCGAGUGUAGAGGUGAAAUUCGUAGAUAUUCGGAGGAACACCAGUGGCGAAGGCGGCUCACUGGACCGUUGCUGACGCUGAGGCGCGAAAGCGUGGGGAGCAAACAGGAUUAGAUACCCCGGUAGUCC
rnacentral:rRNA from 1 species